UCCCCCUCCUAGGGCCUCAAAAGCUCAUUUUCCCGCCAAAAUAUUCAUUCUCCUCAUUUCCCUUGAAUUAACCUGACAUGGGAUCCAUUUAGUCUAUUCGGAUCCUCCUUUUUCCGUCCAUAUUUAAACCAAUAAACCAAUCAAUUUUCCCAUUCUAUUCUUCUCUGAUACGCUUUCUUCACCGCCGCUCAUCAAGAUUUUCAAAUUAAUCUUCAAGAACAAGGGUUUUCUCCAGAAACCCCUUUCUCUCAUCCCAUCCAUCUGCGACAUACAUUCAAUCCUUCAUUCGUCUUCAAUCAGCAGGUUUGUAUUUGUUAAUUACCUAUAAUUAUUUAUUCUAAUGUUCUUUGCUACUAUCCAGGAUCAAACCCUAGAUUCUUUGCUCCUCCAUCGACGUUCCAUCUCUUGAUGUUCUCCCCUGGCAUCCUUCUUACUUCUGAAGAUUUGUUUUUUUACGAACAACAACAGCAGUCACUCUUCAUCAUCUUCGUCUUAAUCAAAUCUAUCAUCAUCUCCUUCAUGCAUCAUCUACAACAAUCGAUUAUUGCCUUGCUAAUUCGCCUCUAAUUCUAAAGUUUAUGGCACCUCUCCGUCAGCGCCGUCAUAGUCUGAUAUUGAUCUUUGUUUCAGCCGUUCGUGAUGACUAAAAACGUUCUUGGUGGUGGCUAGGGUUCGUAUGGUGUAAGAAUGGCGAUAGUCUAACAUCGAGUGGGGUUUUGAUGAUGAAAUUAGAGCUUUGGUCACAAGAAAUCUUUUAGGAAGAGGCAUUAUUUUGCACCCCCAAACAAAUUUGACACUGGUAAUUUUUCUAUAAUUAAUUAUUGAUUUUAUUCACAUAGAUUAACUUUCUUGAAUCUUCAGCUGAUUUAAAUUAAAUACAUGUAUUUUAGUGACGAUGUUGGAUGCCAUUAGAGUGGCUACAAAUCAUGGUAAAAAUUAACAUCCUAAAAAAUGAAUAUUCUUCUUUCCCCUGUUUUCAAAUUUCUGUUGGUUUUUCUUUUUUUUAGUUGUUUAAAAUAUCAUGUUUCUCCAUUUGUUUUUUUUAACUUGAUACAUCUGUACUUAUCAUAUCAACUAUUAUUAAAAAACUCACUUUGAAUCCAUCUUUUCAUCUUUUGGUUAUUCUCACUUAAGAGCAUUUUCUUGAUUUGUGAUGCACUUUAAAUACAAAAAACCAUGAUUGAGAUUAUGUUUAAAGUUGAAUCUUCAUGCCUUCUAUGUUUAUUGUUGAUCCCAUAUGAUUUCAACCCCUGUAAUGAGAUUAAUCAAACAUAUUUGUUAACUCUCGAACUUUUUUCCUUCUUAUUGUUGAAUGGAGUUUAAUAUACACAUUCAGGAGGCUUCCUCCAUUGUGAUAUAAAGCCACAUAACUUUUUGUUGAUUUUUAGCCGAAUGGAAAUUCAGUUGUACAGGCAGGGCUUGGCGGAAAUGGGGGUUACUUCUUAGUCAAGUUGAAGGUAAAUUUCCAAUUAUUUUGUUUUUCGUUGAACACCUUUAAAAAUCCACUUAUUGUUCUUCAUCCGAGCUGUCACUGUAUACAAUUACAUUUUAAUGUGUUUGUGUUGAACCACUUAGUGACCUUAUUGCCUAAUUUGAUAAAAAUUAUAUGAUAGUACUUCUACUUAGGGGAGUAUUUAAGUUCUUUAAACUUUACCGAUUUAUAUCUUCAACUAAAAGAUCAUAUGAUUGUUUGGUGUUUUAUUUAGUUCUACAUUAUUUAUGGAGUUUUGCUUUUUCACACACCAUUAACAGUGAGUAUGUAUAUGUGUUCAUGCCAGCCACUUAUAUGUUGUAUAACUAAAUUAUUUUACUUCUGAUUUAUAUGAGGCUUUAGGUUUUUUACCCACAUAGCAAUCCAUGGGAAGAAUAAGAACGGGCUAUUAAUUGCCUUUUCAAGUUAAGCAUGUGACCGCUUAGUAAUUUAGCUUUAUGAUUCUUUGCUUCUUAUAUUAUUUUGUCCUCUACUUUCUAUGCUUGGUUAACAUACUUAACGGGUCAACAAGGCAAGUGGAACAUAGUAAAAAAAAAAAAGCAAAGGUCAAAUUGGGCUUCAUCAGAUAAUGCUUGCUGAUAGAUAUUAUGAACUUGAACCAACCUUAAACGAUAAAAGAAGACGUACUGGAUGUUGUUAGCUGGAAUGAUAAUAAUUACUCACCAGUCAGUAUUUGGUGCAAACGCAUGCCGAAGGUUUUAUAUGUUACAAUUGGUACGUUGACAGAACUCGGGUAUUUUGUUUUUCAUCAAAACUUUUAUGCUGAUGGUGCGGAAGUUAUAACAAAUGGAAUUUUGGAUCGAUCAACUUACAAAUCAGAUGCAGAGAGACAGAAAGUGAUACAAUAUUCUUGAAGCAUCGAUAGAGAGAAGAGUUUCCGCGAUAGACUUGGAAUUUAGGAAAGGAAAAUCAAUAUUACAGGAAACAAAUGGUCGUGCCCAGGUCCUCUCUACUUUCAGGCUUUUGUAGAGGUGGAAAAUGGCUUGGUUGGGCGGGUUAGGUAAUGAGUCAAAGCCGGUAAUUUUUGUGUAAGUAUAACCCGAAAUGCUUUUUGUCUAAUUUUAAAUAAUUAGAAAACACAUCCUAUAAAUAAUUGUCGAACUUGAGGAAACUUUUGCCCCGUUUGAGUUGUUUCAUUUUAAGCUUCUUUUUUAUAUGUUUGACACUUAAAGGAGAUAACAUAAGUGAAUCACCCUUUCUUAUAAGCAUUAAACAUUUGCCUCACAAGUUUGCCAAAGAUCUAGGAAAUUGUUCAAAAAUGUCAAAGUUGGAUGUAGAGGUAUCUCAAAAAUAUCGGGUCUUCGUAUUUUUUAUCUUCUUAUUUUCCCACAUCGUUAUUUUGCAUAUUUGGUGGUGGGCAUAAAGCAUUAGUAAUUUUUUUUUGGGAAAUAAGCUUGCAGCACUAAGAAGUUCCUCGCGUCAUGGACCUUUCUCACUUAACUCAAUGGAAGCAACUCACAUUCUUUGUUCUGUUUUUUCAGUUCACUUGCCAUAAGAAUUGGUCCAAAAUUGGGUUGAUAGGAAUUCAAAGUGUAAGUUGUGCUUCAAUGAAGUGUAUAAGAUAUAUUUUUUUUUCUUUAAGUAGGUGGUUUAAAGAUGGAAGAACUAUUACUAGGUGGGAGUGUCUUUUCAAAAUGAGCUUAAAUAGUUAACCAGGUAUUAUGUAUAUAUUAUGCUAUGGAUAUUGCUAGACAACAUGGAUACAUGGCUCGACCUUACAAGGAGUCUCCACCGGGUUCUUAGCUAAAAUAGUAAUUUUUUUGCAAAACAGUUGGUUCCUCGCUCACAUCUUCACAUAUAGGAUGCAUACACUCACAUAGUAUAAAACCUUUUAGGCAUAGCCAAUAAAGAUUUGAAACAUCCAUAAAUAAUAAAGCAAUUGCCCAAUCAAACAGGUGUAUAAUCGUUAUUUUUUUUCUAAAAAUAAAAAAAGAUAUCAUUUGUCAACACCGCGAAAUUCGCGGGUAUUAGCACUAGUAUGCAAAGAAAGUUGUAUAAUGUGGACAACUUUUAGGUGAUCUAUCGAAUGAGAAGCGGGAUGGAAUGUAACGUCGUGAAGGAGUGAAAUUAGAAGGUGUUUAGCCGGUUAAUAGAAUGAAUUCAGUAUCAUCUUAUGAAUAUCUUUCACGUAUCAUAAAAGUUUUCUUGAUUUCUUUUUAAGAUUUAAAGUAUUGAUUAGGACAAACAGUGAUCCCGUCCCUAAACCAUAGAGACGUAAAUUGCAGUGUACUUUUUUUUAGUUACGAUAAAACAGUUAUAGUAUACCUCAAUAGUUAUAUUUGGUAGCUAGUAGUGUAGGAAGAAGCAAUGUAUGUUCGAUGAUAACACCAAACCGAGGAACUUUGUAAAACGUCGUUG